rnacentral:RNase_P_RNA from 1 species
CGAGUCGGCCAGAUGAUCGCGGUCACCACCCCCCGGGUGGUGGCUGAGGAAAGUCCGGACUCCACAGGGCAGGAUGGUGGGUAACGCCCACCCGGGGUGACCCGCGGGACAGUGCCACAGAAAACAGACCGCCAACCACGGUUGGUAAGGGUGAAACGGUGGUGCAAGAGACCACCAGCACGCCAGGUGACUGGCGUGGCUCGGUAAACCCCAUCCGGAGCAAGACCGAACAGGACGUGUUUGAGGGCGGCCCGCCUGAGCGUCCGGGUAGGUCGCACCGUGCGUGCACGGAAGGCCGUUGGCAACAGCGGUCGCAGAUAGAUGAUCAUCCUUCGACAAAAUCCGGCUUAUCGGCCGACUCGUCCU